UUUAAUGUCACUUUUAAAUUCAAAGUUUUAAUUCAUCUUAAAGGUUAAAAUAGUCUCAUUGUGGUAAUUUGUAAUUUACAGGGUUGCUGAAUGAUCUUUUCAUUCAGAGUUAUCAUCAAGUUGUUUACAUGUGCUAUUCAAUGUUUUUGUUUUCUUAAAAAGUGUAUCACGACAACGUUUGUCGAGAAACUUAAUCCUCUGAAGUGCAACAAGUCGGGUUUUGCAUUAUGUUUUUGUCUAAUGAUUUUUCAUCAGUUCAUCUAGCAGUAUCAAUAUUCAGCAACGAAAAUACAUGACUAUGAAAUUACAUGUAUGAUACAUUUAACUGUCAACAAAUAUUGAAAUAUGAGCAAUUGGUGGGAAACAACAAGCAUUUCAAACUGUGUUGAAGUUAAAAAAUCGUAAAUUCUGCGAUGAAAACCCGUUAUUUUAAAGAUGCGCUGGUUCAAUUUUAAUGAGCUGGUUGAAUAUAAGCAAAAAAACUUCGAUUUCGACUCAAUUAUCUUGAAAAUGACUCAAUUUCAAGCCAUUCUCCAGCUCAAUUUGAACACUUUCAACCAUUUCACGAACGCGGCCUAGAAAAUCAAGAAUUGUGUCCUUCUCAGUUCUUUUAAAUCACACAUCAUACGAUAACUCGCCUUCAUCUCUGUUACCCAUUUGAUCGUCGAUAUACGCAUCGGUAUAAGUAAAAUUUGAUUUAAACGUGAUUCAGUUUUCAUGCUUCUAGGAGAGAUUGGAGCAAAUGAUUGGCGAUCUGUUUAAAGAUGAUCUACUGGAAGAAAUCAUUAGAUCAGCUUGUUCAGCAUUCUCAGAAAUCAAUUGGCUAACUUUGUACUGAAGAUUUUUGAUUCUCAUAUCAGCAUAUUGAUUUGAGUCUUGAGUUUUCCCAUUCCCAUUGUCACCAUCAUCAAGGCACGGUUGCUGAGGUAGUAAGAAUUAUUAAGAGCCAAACAACGCGGAAUUGGCGUCAAUUUUCAACCGAUAAUUUUGGACUUGUUGAUACAUCAAACGAGACACUGUAGUUUAUGCUCUUACAAGUGUGGCUUCCUAUUUCAGACGAACGGUAUUGUCUACAUUUGGUGCUUGAAUUUGUUUGUAUGAAUCAACAUGAUAUUUAUCUAUAUUAUUGCUUAGUUCAUCAACAAAAAUAUCUUUGAAGAUAAAUUUUUAAACUAGAUAACGAUUUGUGAAUAGAUUCAUAAUAAAAGAAAAAUGCAAAAUUAUUAA